GGUGGGAACCUAGUGGUUAAGGAGCUGGGCUAGCGAGCCAGAAAAGUUGUGGGUUCAAUUCCCGGCUUCUAGCG
rnacentral:tRNA from 1 species